rnacentral:rRNA from 1 species
AACGAACGCUGGCGGCGCGCCUAAUACAUGCAAGUCGAGCGAGAAGACGUAGCAAUACGUUUGUAAAGCGGCGAACGGGUGAGGAAUACAUGGGUAACCUACCCUCGAGUGGGGAAUAACUAGCCGAAAGGUUAGCUAAUACCGCGUACGCUCCUUGGACUUCGGUUCAGGGAGGAAAGCGAUACCGUGGGUAUCGCGCUCUUGGAUGGGCUCAUGUCCUAUCAGCUUGUUGGGAGGUAACGGCUCACCAAGGCUUCGACGGGUAGCUGGUCUGAGAGGACGAUCAGCCACACUGGCACUGCGACACGGGCCAGACUCCUACGGGAGGCAGCAGUAAGGAAUAUUGCGCAAUGGGCGAAAAGCCUGACGCAGCGACGCCGCGUGGGGGA